CCUUAUUCUACACGCCACAUCAUUUGGUUUCCAUUUUCAAGGACGCAAGUACUAUGCUUUUGUCCAUGGCUCACCCUGUAUUGUGACACAGAGACUUCCGAAGGUCCGUAUUAUCUUGUAUUGAUGCAUCUCCACAUUCCAUGGCGUCUGGUCCUAACUACCAGGCAGCACACUUCGAAGAUAAAGCUUCCAUCUAAAUCACCAGGCACUGGAAUAUGGAAGACCCAUGUAUCCUCCCGGGCACAGAUGGAAAAAUAUCCUGACCCCAGCUCCACAGUGAAGCCAGUUUCUGUCCUGACCCCCGCAGUAGCCGAGAGACGCUGUACUCUCACAUUAGCAGGCCAUGGAUUGGUCUACAGAAUUCUGGGAACUUGGGUAAGUUACUUCCCUUCCUGGGUUUCAGUUUUUUUUUUUUUUCGUCUUGUAAAAUAAGGUCAUUGGACAAGCCUAGAAAAUUGAUAAAAUCGCAGAAGCCCUAAAGUGCAGUGACUCUAACUCUACCCUUUGCCCCUUCCACACACAUGCGUUGGGCAAACUGUUUAUUUCAUUUUGUCUUCAUGUUUCCCAUCGUUCACUUUGGUAGGUUGUGUUUUGUUCAAAAUAUUUGCUGCCUCUCCUUGGGGGCACUUGUAUGUUCUCACCACCCUGAACUUAGGAGUAGAUUUUAGCCGAUGGAAUGUGGCAGAAGUGACUUGAAUCAUUUUUGACCAGAAACUUUGAAGAGCCAGUUUGUGUUUUUUUGCCGUCUCUUUUUCCUUUGCCAGGAAAUCAUCAAUAACCUUGAUAAGAAAGAUGACGUGUAAUUUAUUGUCCAAACCAGGAAUAUUUGAAAGUGAGAGGGUAUACAGGUGAGAGUGAAAAGAUAGGCUAUUAAUAAUUUCUCAGGGACAACAAACAUGGCUAGGACUGCGUUGGAUAAACCGGAAUGUGUAAUCCAGAUAGAGGCUGCUUUGUCAGUUUGGUUCCCGGGGAGAAAACAACACGGGGCAGAAGCAGAGCCAUUCCACGAGGGACACACGUGAGAGAGAAAUCACCCUCUGUAAGCCUCUAAGAUUUCGGGGAACAUUGUUAGUAUAGUACGACUUAGCCAGCUGAUACGGAAGUUUAACCAGCGUAGCUGACUGAUUCAGAAAACACAUGGAAAAGUGGCUUUCUGUUGGUAUACGUUACUGGGUCAUUUGAGAGUUUGCUGGACACUGAACAUAUAUGCUCAGAGGUGUCUGGAGUUGCUGGUACCUUCUUCCAGUUUAAAACAAGGAAAGCUGUUCUCUGCUCUCCAAGUGGGCCUUGGUUGUGUACUGGGCAGGCUAAGUCUCAAGAGUGCCUAUCUCACCCAAAAAGAAACAAGGGGUUUCUUUUGUAAAUAUCAACGUUGAUUCAGUUGACCAUUCUAUUCUAGCCGAAGCUGUUGGAACCAGGGUGGAGACUCAAG
rnacentral:lncRNA from 1 species